AGGGUGCGUCUAGAUUUCUAGGCUAGAAGUCAGCAGUAAGUAUAAAAGAUUGUGAUGAAAUGUGAGUAUCUAGUAACAAAAUGAAGAAGAUAGGUCAAACGUGAACAUUUUGGAAUGUGGAAUGUUAUUGUUAUGUAGGAGAAUAUGAAGUUUCUGUGUUCACGUUAAUAGGUUUGAUUGCAAUAGUCUGAAUAUUCCUUUUUUACUACUUCAGACAAGAAGCCAGAUGCAAGCAAAUGGCAAAAGGCAGAAAAAUCAGAGCACCACCAUCAUGACAAAGAUCAUGGAAAGAAGGCACACAGACAGCCGCCUACCAAGUCCUCUGGACCAUCUCGGCCAGCUACAGUAGUACUCCAUCUCGGCGUGGAAAAUGACAGGCUAAGCUCACAUGAUGGCCACUCUCUGUUAUGGUGCCUUGCCAUCACUUCAAUUCGCCAAUUGAAAAGUACUUCUAAAAUGUGUGCAGGCUUUGUUCUGGGAAUGUACAGUAUAAUAUGAAGGAAGGUAUGUGCAGUUAUUCAGGAAUAGCAAUUUGCAGCAAGCCUAUUUAGCAGUUCUUUUUUAAUCACAUAAGAUAAUUUUCUGCAAGCCAUAUGAAUGGGCCCUAGUCAUUG